CAGUCCAUUGGAGCCGGUGGUUCACAAGCAGAGCUUGGCUAAGGAUGGCCGGGGAGAGUCAGCCAUGGCUGUAAAGUUCUGCUUCUUUUCUGCCUUGGCUGGAACUGGUGGCAAGAUAUUGUCACUAAUGGCCCUGUGGUAGUAGGGGCUAAGACACCUUCUGUGGAAGACAACCCUGCAGCCUCAGCUACCUGCCACGUGUUUCGGAGGCACCGGAGUUGCAUGCUGGAGAAGAUGCAGAAGCUGCCGCUUGCUGCAGGAGGUCUAUAAAAUGCCACUGGCUUCUAGGAGAUGGAGGAGGUGUAUACAGAAGAUCUGAAAGGUGGAAACAAGGAAUUAUGGGAGUGUCAGU